rfam:Lactobacillus similis DSM 23365 = JCM 2765 strain DSM 23365 NODE_31, whole genome shotgun sequence.
UAAUGUAGACAGAAAAAGGAAGCCCCGAGUGAAUAGGACUUCCCUUGUAGAACCGCUUAAGACGGUGGCAAACUUAAUAGAUUAGAUCAAA